rnacentral:rRNA from 1 species
GGUUCAGAACGUCGUGAGACAGUUCGGUCCCUAUCCGUCGUGGGCGUAGGAAAUUUGAGAGGAGCUGUCCUUAGUUCGAGAGGACCGGGAUGGACAUACCUCUUGUGUACCAGUUGUCGUGCCAACGGCAUAGCUGGGUAGCUAUGUAUGGACGGGAUAAGUGCUGAAAGCAUCUAAGCAUGAAGCCCCCCUCAAGAUGAGAUUUCCCAACUUCGGUUAUAAGAUCCCUCGAAGAUGACGAGGUUAAUAGGUUCGAGGUGGAAGCGUGGUGACACGUGGAGCUGACGAAUACUAAUCGAUCGAAGACUUAAUCAAUUUUUAAA